rnacentral:lncRNA from 1 species
AUCCAUCUGUUGCAUUGAAUAUUUUCUUUGGAUCAAUUUGUAAAAUUUGGCUCUUUUCUUCUAAAAUUGGCCAAACGAGCUCGAAUUCAUGAAACCCAACAAUCUUGACAAGGUUUGGAACCGGUUGGAUACUAAUCAUAAAUGGAUCGCGCUUCAGAACUUUCUCCAAAGCUGGAGUCGUCACCCCACACUUCGAAACACAAACUGAAAAUACAGGGGGCCAUGUCGUGGUAAUGGUCAAACUACAGCUUGGUUCCUGCAAUUCAGCUUGUUCUUGUUCUUCGUCUGACCUCUCUGCUAGCAAUCUUUCCAGCUCCUCCAAGUCUCUUUCUGGAUUAAAUUCUUCAUCUUGUAACUCAAAUGUCCCUUCUGUGUUGGGCAAGAUGUUAUCUAACCAUCUUCCAAAUUUCUUCAAAUCUUCAUCUGAGUCAUACUCCUCAUCUCCUUGCUCAAUUUCCUGUACUACUUCCUCAAGAAAAGCAUCAAAAGCAUCGAGAUUUGGAAAAUACAUAAUAAAUAAAAAUUAAAAUUAAAAUUAAACUAAAUAAAAAAAUUAAUCAAAAAAUAAAAAAAAAAUAAUAACAAUUAGCAAAUAAAAUUAANACUAAAUAUGCUCAUAUCAAAAUACCCCACACUUGACUUUUGCUUGCCCCCAAGCAAAACUGAAUUUUAGUACACUAAUAUUACAUAAGACAAUCCCAAUCGAACCCAGCCAUUAUGCCAAGACCGCAACGCAUGCAUUUGUGUCUAAAAUUUUCCUAAUAACCCCCCAUACUCCAAAUACUCACAAUCCUCAUAAACAUUCGCCCACUUUUUCCGAACAAUGCUCAUUUUAUGCAUCCCUCCGAAUCCAUCCUCAGAAAACCUCUUAACCUCAAGGUAUUUUUAGUUGAGCAACCCAAACAUACAUAAUCUAGAAUUACAACUUUUCGAUACCACUAUGGAGCUCUUUUGAAUUCUUCAUUUCCUUGAUAAUUUGAUCUUUGAUCUCUUUGAAUUCACCACCUUUAUUGUUUGAUUUUUGAUAUCUUCAACUUUUUGGAUUUCUUGGAAUUUUGAUCUUUUGAUCUUUACUUUAACUUCUCCAAAAUUCCUACAAAUUUUCUUGUAAUUCUGUCUUUUGUUUUUUUACAUGUACCUCACUUUUUUUUCACUCAAAACCUACAUGCUUAAGUAGGGGCGCUCAACUUCAACCUUUAUUGGUUAACGAUAAUAAUUUUCCUGGAUACAUUUCUGGUACACGAUGCUAAACAUAUUGCAUCCUUGAAACUAAGCGAGGUCGUGUUUUUGUCCCAUGAUUUCACUAGAAUAAGGAAGCCACAAAUGCACUAGAACGUAUAUAGGCUCAACUAAACAUUUGGGUUUUCAUGCAAUCAUCAAAUAUAAUACUAGCAUAGAAUCCUAAUUGCUUGACCAAAAUUUUCUAAAUUAUCCCUAGCAAUUUAAAUGCAAAAUUUUCAAAAUUUAUCAUAAAUUAACUAAAAUUUUAACUAAUUUAACCAACCCCCUACCCCACAUUUAAUUUAUGCAAUGUCCCCAUUGCAUAUAAUGGAUGAUAAAGAACAAUAAAAUAAAGAGGGAAUUGGAACAAACUCCCCUAGGAUAGUAGUCGCGAGGUUAAUCUUCUUAAUGUAAAGCUCCAACUUCAGCUGACUUUGGCAUGGGAACAGCGCAUCCAUGCCUUGGGUGUCAAAGCUCGUGUGGUUAACAACUCUCAAUAUGUGGGAAAAAGCAUCUUGGAAACGCUUAGAAAUGGUCUUCAAAAAUAUAGCCAAUUGCCGCCUUGAAUUGAAUCAAAUCGUCGACUCAAAUAUAAAAGAAGGAGCAACUCGCCGAGUUUUAUGUGGAGACUCGCCGAGUUGAAUCGCUAUACUCGCAGAAAUCGUGAGUUUUUGCUUGGACUCGUCGAGUUAGUAUUAUGCACUCGACGAGUUCUUGACUCUGAUCAGGCCUUUUCUUCUUUCUGCUUCAGCUUUAAUUUUGUGUUCAAGGAGAGUAUCAAGGUAAUAAAACUCCUCAUUUUCUUAAGGGACGAGACUCUUUUUAAUUUAAUAUAAACAUCGGACUCAACAUAUCGCUCAAAAUCUUCUAAUCUUCUCGUAAACGACUCGACCGCUCACUUUAAUUCCCUCACGCUUUAAGAAUUCAUCACCCUAGCUUCUAAAAAGAUCAAAGACAAAACCACGUAAUAAAAAGGAAAACAAACAUCAAAAUAAAAAUUCCUAUAUUAUCCCUAAAUACUAGAAGUUUAAAAGAAAAAGAAAAGCAAACUCUAAUGACGGGUUGCCUCCCGCAAGCGCUUCUUUUUGUGCGAGUCUUGAGCUGGACUCUCAACUUAAUAAACUUCCAAUAUACUCAAUGCCAAUCCAUCUGUUGCAUUGAAUAUUUUCUUUGGAUCAAUUUGUAAAAUUUGGCUCUUUUCUUCUAAAAUUGGCCAAACGAGCUCGAAUUCAUGAAACCCAACAAUCUUGACAAGGUUUGGAACCGGUUGGAUACUAAUCAUAAAUGGAUCGCGCUUCAGAACUUUCUCCAAAGCUGGAGUCGUCACCCCACACUUCGAAACACAAACUGAAAAUACAGGGGGCCAUGUCGUGGUAAUGGUCAAACUACAGCUUGGUUCCUGCAAUUCAGCUUGUUCUUGUUCUUCGUCUGACCUCUCUGCUAGCAAUCUUUCUAGCUCCUCCAAGUCUCUUUCUGGAUUAACUUCUUCAUCUUGUAACUCAGAUGUCCCUUCUGUGUUGGGCAAGAUGUUAUCUAACCAUCUUCCAAAUUUCUUCAAAUCUUCAUCUGAGUCAUACUCCUCAUCUUCUUGCUCAAUUUCCUGUACUACAUCCUCAAGAAAAGCAUCAAAAGCAUCGAGAUUUGGAAAAUACAUAAUAAAUAAAAAUUAAAAUUAAAAUUAAACUAUAUAAAAAAAUUAAUCAAUAAAAUAAAAACGAUAACAAUUAGCAAAUAAAAUUAAAUAUUUGAACCGUUCCCCGGCAACGGCGCCAAAAACUUGAUGUGUGUGAAACCAACUAGUUUUAAUCCUACUAACUUAAACACAAAGACAAACACACGAAAGGCAGUGUACCUAUCGAUUAGCAGUUUAGUUCAGGUAAGUAGGGUAUCGAACACAGGGAACGGUAAACAAUUAAAAUAAAUGCUAAUAUUAUCUAAAUAAAACAAGUAAUAGAAAAGGGGUUUUCUCUAGUUUUGCAAGACUAGAAACUUAAACAAUUAACUAAAACUUAAACUAAGAAACUAAGAGCUAAGCAAAUAAAAAUCAACUAAAUUCAAUAAUAAAGAGGACUUCUGUUUAGGUUCGACUCAUUUGUUCCCAUGGAUGAUUUCAAUGUAUCAGAUUAAUUCUUCAUUGGCUACCGACUAAGAUGAUUAGUUUCACGUUCGCUAUUACUAAUCCUUAGGAAACAAAUUAACUCAAGCAGUGGCCAGUUGUCUAAAUUAACGGAUUUCCUAGUUAUUAAUUCGGGUUAAAUAAGACUUGUAAUGGUUAAUUAAAUUGGCCCUUCAAUUAACCUCUUGCUGAUGUUCAUCAAACAAGCUCACACAUUAACUUACCUAUCUUCUAGUUAAUUCUAGUUUCACAUUCGUUAUUCCUAGACAUACAACUAUGUGGUCACGUAAAUCAUAUGAAAUUAGCAACUAAGAGAUGUUCAUACAACUUAAUUGCUGAUUUAUUAAUAGAAGAAUAGUUAUUGUUAACACAUAAGGUUCUUUAACAAGCUUAAUAAAACAUAAUCACCAAUUAAAAUUAAUCCUAAUCAAAUAAUCAAUCCAUGUUCACAAAUUCAUCUACCUAAACAGAAGUUAUGAGUUUUUAGCUCAUGAUUACAGCAGAAACAAGCUCAAAAACGAAAUCAAAGUAUGUAAACAUGAUUCAAAUCAAAAGGUUACUAAGAAUAAACCAAAAUUGUCUUGAUUCUCUUCACAAUUGAAUGUAGGGUUGAUUCUUCAGUUCCUCACGACCUAGCAGCACUUCCAAUCGUUUCUCAGCCUCCUAGGGUUUCUCUCCAUGCUAGGGUAUCGAUCUGAAAGUCCCUUUAUAUAGAUUUUCACAAAACAGAGGCUACUCGGCGAGUCCAGUGACCUACUCGCCGAGUACAUCACUUAAAACCCGUGUACGGCAAGUCAACGCGUCCAGAAUCGCGAAAGUUCGAUACAACUCGCCGAGUAAUCGACCCUACUCGCCGAGUACGUUUCAAAUCAGCAUUUUCUCAAAACACGAAAGUCAUCCGAAAUUGUGUCUAGUUUUCAGAACAUUUUGAAUCUCGUCAAUCGGAGUUACGGAUCAUGAGAUAUGGCCAAAACACUGAUGAGGGGUCAAGCUGUCGAGCAACAUCCUUCUCUCUUCAAAAUCCAAGAUCCAAGCUUCCAAUCGCUAGUUCCGCUUCAUUUUCCUUUCGAACAUGUCUUUGUUGCUGAAAAUGAAAUAUUUAAGCUAAUUAAGCACCUUUGGUUCAUUAUUUGAGAUAAAAUUAACAUAAAGUAUUAAGAUCAUGCAUGGUUUUAUGACUAAAUAUGCUCAUAUCACAUAUAGAGCUCACAAGGUGAGCCUAGCUCACGAGGAGAGCAUAUGUGGUUCACCAGGUGAACCUAGUUUUUUUAGCCCUAUAAAUAGAAUUCGAAGGGCAGCCGAUUUAGGUAGCUACUUUCUUACUUUCCCACUCCCGAUACUCUCUCUAAGCCCUAUUUUAACCCCUCGAAGCCCCGGUAUCAUCCCGAUACCCGAAGCAAGUCCCAAUGCCCGAAGAUCCCUAGAAGAAAAGAGUUUCCGAGCCGAAGCUCUGCCUACGAGAAGGUUGGUGUGUGAAGAUCUUCUAGUUUCACCGAAGAAAUACUACUUCUAUAAGCAGUAGUGUUGUCCAAUCAUCUUCUGAUCAAGUGAGUGUGUUGUUACUUUCUUUUACCGCAUAGAUAUGAAGUAUUUGCUAUGAAAUACGGGCUAUAUGUUUAUACGUUGUUUGUUUACUUGAGAUGGUUGUUGAAUGAAUGUUUUAUAAAGAUUUUUAAAUGAUUUAAGCUAUAUAUGUAAUUUAUAUCUCCAAAUAUGUUGGGUAGAACAUGGUUAGAUGAAAUAGUUGAUGUGAGGAGAUAUAAUAAGUGUUUCUAAACUCUAUGUGUUCACUUGGUGUAUUUGAACUCUAUGUGUUCGUUAUGUAUUUUUGAAGUCUAUGUGUUCACUUGGUUUUUGAACUCAACGUGUUCAUUAGGUAUUUUUGAACUCUAUGUGUUCACUUGGUGUUUGAACUCAAUGUGUUCAUUAGGUAUUUUUGAACUCUACGUGUUCACUUGGUAUUUAUGAACUCAAUGUGUUCAUAAAGUAUUUUUGAACUAGAUGUGUUCACUUGGUGUUGUUGAACUGAGUGUGUUCACUAAGUGUUUAGAACUAAGUAUUCACUAGAUGUUUUGAAUUAAGUGUUCACUAGGAGUGUUAGAACUAGGUGUUCGUUAAGUAUGUUGAACUAAGUGUUUACUGUUUGUAAUUUGAGGACCUUGGCAGUGGUGGACUUUGUGUUAAUUCCUUAGGUCAAUCCUUAGGAAUAAACGAAUAAAGGAUAGUUUAUUCUUAGGGUAAAUCCUUAAGAAAUAAAGGAGAUAAUGGGAAUGGGUAAUUUAUAUUAAUUGAUUCAUUGAUUGAUUGAUGAUUGAAUAUAAUAAUUAUAUUAUUGUGGGUCGAAAACCCUAUAUGCUCACCAGGCUCCCAAGGCUGACCCAAUUAGGUUUCUUUGCAUUACAGGUAAUGGCACAAGAGUAUAAGUUGGUGGACUUGAAGAGAGAUUUUGGAUAAUAGACUAGUAGUUGUAAAUAACUGCUGUAAGGUCGAAUUGUAUUCUUUAUGAUUUUGGUCUAUAUCGGUACAUGACAUCCCGAGGUUUUAUUAUUUAAUGAAAAUACAAUAUCUUUGAGAAAUUUUUUUGAUAAAUUUUAUCAUAUUUUUUUUGGGAACGAAUUAUGCAACUCUUUUAAUCAAAGGAUUACUCUGAUUUUAUAAAACAAAGCAUAAACAAAUCGGUCUUUUCUGGUCGUGAAUUUGCGAAUGUCACAGGUUCGUGGGUGAUUUUUGUCUACGGUGCCCUUGGGAUUUGAAAAAGUUUUGGCACGUGAAUUACUAUCAGGUUUUUACUUACUGAUGGAUUGAUGUGAUUUUGAAGGUUCUGGAGUUGGUAAAAUGUAUUUCCACUUUGGAUCAUUUAAGGAAUAUCUUUGAAAAUAAUAUUUUUGAAAAGAUGUGACUUUCUUUUGGGAUUUUGCAGGGGUGUUUGAAAAAAAUUUCGUUACUGUACAUUCCUUUUUGUUUGAACCUUUGACCAUCGUGAUUCUUGAAAGAUUUUUAGCAGAUGUGGUUUUUUCAAGACCUUUUUUAUUUGAAAUUUGUUUGAAAAUUUUGUUUUUGUAGUCAGUAUCCCUUUUUACCUCAGGACCUAAGCUCUUCUUUGAAAGCCAAAUUUGCUUGAGUUUUUGGAGAACCAUAGUCAGAAAUGUUUAACUGCGGUUUCUUGAAAACCUUUGUCUAUUUUGAAAAACGAGGACUCAAGUCAUCGGAAAUAAAGAGUUCAAGCUCUUGUGAACAUUGACCAUAUUCAAAAUUUUCAAUUGGUAAUUCGUGAAGGAUGGGUUGAAUGGUCAUUGUGCUUAUGACUGUGGUCUGCGGUGCGGAUGACUGGAUCGCCGCAGAGUAAGUCAAUGAUGAUUCAUUGUUUGGACAUUUUAUGGAAGGUAAGGAUGGACAAUUUACAACUGCUUCUCGUCCUUCCACAAUGAUUUCUUCAUCUACAUCUAAAGAGGACUGAGAAUCGGGACAAAUUGUGCCAAUGAUGGGUAUUUGAUCACUUGGAUGACCAGAGGAUUCAUGAAGAAUUUCCUCGAUGGCACAAUUGUUACUUAGUUCAUGAAGUCGACUGAAGUGGCAUCUUAUGUCUUUAGGAAAUGUUUUAUCACUAACUGGAUAAUGAAACUCACGAUCCAGUGGGACAUAUGGUCGAUCAACAUUGAAUCGGGGAGUUGAGUCCUCAUUGGUUGAGUACCUAAUGGACCAUCCCCAAUUAUAGGUGUUGUCCACAGUCCCGUUGGUAACUAAGUUUUCAAUUGCUCCGGAUUCAUUAAAGACAUUUUCAAUUAAUUGAUUUAAAUGUACAAUUUCUUUUUGGGCUAAAUCCCUUUGAUUUAAACCAAUUUCUAACUGAGUUUCAUUCAACAUCCUAUCAUCUUUUUCUAACAACAAGUCCUUUUCUAGCAUAGCAACCUUAAGUCUCUUAUCCUCAAGUCUUCCACUCACAUAAUAUAGCUCUUGGGACACUAUAUUCUUUUUAUCUAGUGCUUUGGUUUAGUUUGAAAGGACGGCAGCACAUGUGUCAUUAAUUCUUUCUAAGUAUGGUUCACAAUCAUGCAUGCUGAAACUAUUAGAAUGGAUCAUGAUUUUUACCUGUUCGAUGAUGCUGAGGUUGCCAAUUCUUGGCCAUGUACCAUCAGUUUCUCUCCAACUUCGUCGAUCUGUCCUCUUCAGUAGCUGCAACCAUGCAUAUCUUCCUUUUUCCUUUGAUGUUGUCAAAAUCUUCAUCCUCAUCUCCGGAUGACCGCACCGGAUGAUCACUUUUCACAUGAGGAACAUAUGCUCUUUCCUUUUCUUUUUCUUCCAUUUCUUGGGCCAUUCUAAGAUAGAAUGCCUUGUCCUUAGCCACAUUUGCUUUGCAGUCUUUUGCAAAGUGAUUUUCUUUAUUACAUUUGCGACAAAUGAUGACUUCACUUGUCUCUUCAGUUGAGGUACCGAAGUCUGUUGUUUUGCUGGACUGCGGUGCCUCCUUAGAAUGAAGUGCAUUAUGUGGUUGCGGUGGAUGGCGAGGGUUUCAAGGAUAUCAUGAGUGGUUAGACUGUGGAUUGAAGUUAUGGAUAAAAGGUGGUUUUGUGAACUGCUAAUUCUUACGAAAUGAGGUUCGUGGUAGUCGGUUGAAAUGAUGGCUAACCAGGGCAAUGGCCUUUUGGAAUUCUUCUUCAUCAUCCAUUUCAGCAUCAUCUUCAUAUGACUGCGGUGGGUUGUCAUAUGAAAGUGGGAAGGAUGAUUUGGUAGGAUAUGAGUAGUGUGAGGUCUUGGUUUGUGGGGAUUAAGUUAUCAGGGUAAGUAGUUCAUCGAGGUCAUCACAAUCUUUCAGCAUAGUUGAUUCUUGUGCCUGAAGUUCUCCAUACAGUUUGAACAAAGACAAAGUAUGGGUCUUUCUAUCCCCUUAUACAAUCAUUUUUGUAGUAGACCAGUGUCUUCCCAAACCAUUGAGAAACUGUAGGUUUGUUUUGUGAUUGCUUCGAAUUGUACCAACUUUUGAUAGUUUCAUAAUGAUGAGGUCAAAUCGUUUGAGCAAGUCAUCAACACUUUCACCAGGAAGAGCUUUAAAAUUGUUGAACUCAUUGAGAUAGUGGUGCGUUUCUUAUCCUAAGCUUGUUCAGACCCUUGAUAGAGAUUUUUGAGGACAUCCCAAAUAUCCUUAGCAGAUUUGCAAUUGAUGAUGAUGUCAAAGUUGUCUGGAGCUACACCGCAAUAGAUUUCAUAGAAGGCUAUGGCAUCAUUUUCUAUUUUGUCAAGAUCAUCUUUGGUUGGUCGAUUCAUUGCAACCGGACUAGGGAUGUCAAUGGGGCCAAACGGGAGCGGAAAUAGCUGCCCCCGCCCCCGCUCCCGAAAUCACUUGUUGCCCCCGCCCCCGGUUCCCCCAUUUAAACAGCCCUCGGUCCCGCUCCCGGUUACCUCCAUCGCCCCGUUCCCUGGUCCCCCCCGGUCUAUCGACUUAAAAAUGGAUUUUUUUGGUAAAAAAAUGCUAUGUUUUAGACUAAAAAGACUAUUUUUAAUAACUUAAAAAGCUUAAAACCUAAUCUUUUAGAAACAAAAAAAAAAAAAAUCCAACAUUAUGAAUCCAACAUUACAAAACACCAAUUCCAACAAUCUUACAAAGAUAAAUCCAAUAUUACAAAUGCAAAAUACAACAAAUCCAAAAUUACAAAUAUAAAAUACCAACAUGUCCUACAUCUUCAAUAUCCAUUAAUUUCCUUCAACCCUUUAUUCACUGACAUUUGAAUAUCCUCCCUAAAUAAAUAACAAAAAUAAUAAUAAAAUAAAUUGUUAUCUUAGUUUAUUCAAUACAAAACGACAAAUUUAAUAAUUUUACAUCAAUUCGCUCGUCGUCUUCAUCGGAAUGUAAAUCAUCACCAUGAAUAACACAGCCUAACCAAGAAAAAAUAAAUAAAGGUAAUAAGAAAAAUAUAUUAAAAUGAAAAAAAACAAUUGGUUCAAGCAAAUUCAUACAUACCUUUUUAUGCAUGAUUUAUGGUGAGAAUGCAUCCCUUUGGUUCCAUUAUUGGUUGUAUAAGUAAUUUCCUUUCUACAAUACUUACAAACCGCCAUUUUGGUUCCAUUAACUUCUUCAUAGGUGAAAUGACGCCACAUUGGAGAUACAAAUUUCAUUGUUCCUCGCUACAAUUAACUGCAGAAUUGGUGGUAUCAUUAACCGUGGUUGAAUCAUUGGGUUGAUUUGGCUCUGUUGAAGACAUAACUACAAAAGUCUGAAAAUGGUUCACACAAAUAUACUAAUCAGCAUUAUUUUUUCAUAGAAAUAGCAAAAUUUGUACACAACUAAAAUCUUUACACAACUACAAUCUUUACACAACUACAAUCUUUACACAACUACAAUAUGUAAACAUGAGUACAUCAUGAAAUAUAGUGAACAACUACAAUAUGUAAACAUGACUGUAUUACAGUGAGUAGUGAACAAAGUUAGAUUUGCAACCAAUCAAAAUAAACAUGAGUAUAUCAUGAAAUAUAGUGAACAACAAACUAGCAGUCAACAACAGUCAUCAAAAAACCACAAAAAGUCAAAAUACACAUGACUAUAUUACUUAUUUCCGAUUUCUGGUGGAGAAGUCAACUGGGAUGCGAGAAACAAAAAUCUUGAAGUCACAGACUCACAGUCGCAUCUUAGUGGAGUAGUCGCAGACUAGCAGUCGAACUGUGAAGACUUGACAUUGAGAUACAGAAGUUGAGAGGCGAGAAACAGCAAACUCCAAACCUUAAAUUGAGAUUUUAAAUAACUUACCUCUGAUUUCUGGUGGAGAAGUCAACUAGGAGGCGAGAAAUCGAAAUCGUGAAGUCACAGUCAUUGGUCGCGUUUUUUGGUGGAGAAAUCACCGAUUGAGUAAUUGACUGACUCAUCGACGUCGUCAAUAUCUACUCUCCAGUCGUCGUUGAUUGAGUCGAUGGUCGAUUUCUACUGCCUGCUAGUCGAUUCAGUCUUGACAGUCGUCGUUCAAUGUUUGGAGUUGGACUUUGGGUCUUUGGGAAGAGGAAGGGAAGACCGAAUAAAACGUAUGGCAUCGGUGAUUUGUGAAUUGUGAAGCCCUAAUAUUAAAAUCAGUUUCCCCCAUAACCCAUUUCUAUUUUAUAUUAAAUAAAUAUAUUUUUUAUAUAAAUAUAAUGUGGCCCCCGCGGGAGUACGGGACGGAAAUACUCACUCCUGACCCCGGUCCCGAAAAUAACUGGGGGUUAAUAUCGCCCCCGCUCCCGCUCCCACUCCCGCUCCCGAAUUUUUUUUUAAAAUUACUCCCGUACGGUAUUGGGGUCCCGCGACGGUUUUUGACAUCCCUAAACAGGACCUCCACCUAGUCUUGCUUGAGUACCAUCUGCUUGAACAGAAGUAAGAACAUGGACAUGAGGUCCUUCUUCCACAGAUCUCCACACAUCUCUUCCAAGCCUCUUAAGAUACAUUUCCAUUCUUUGGGACCCAUUGUGGUAUUCAUUUGCAACAAGUAUUGGAGCUAUGUUCGAGCCUCCAACAUUGUUGGAAACGUUCACUGAUAAAGCUUGUGCCAAAUUUCCCUUUUUUGUUGUUUUUUUUUAAGAAUGAGCUCUAGUGGUAUAGAAGGCUUUUCAAAAUCAGAGUUUUGUUUCAAAAGCAACCACUUUGGCUCUGAUACCAAUUAUUGAGAGAAAAACUUUUGAGAAACACUUGAACAAAUGUUAGUACAAGAUAAUAGUUGUGGAAUAAUUUAAUCUUAAAGGAUCAUGUAAGCUUAACAAUAAUAAGUUAGAGUUGUUAGAUAGUUAGUUGCGGAAUUAUAAAGUGUUGAAAAGUAAAGGAAAUGUAAAUGACAACAGGUUAUAUCAAGUAUACACCAAACUGAUUCAUAAUGAGGUUUGCAUUCAAACACAAGUUAGUAUAUGUGAUUAGUUUAAGGUGAAGAGGAUCUUGAGUAUUAGAUAAGAUAUAAUAGAGAUAAGAGAGAAUGAUCUUGGUAUUUUAGAGUGAAAGUUCAGAAUGAACUUUUUGAAGUGGUAAGAAGUGGUAAUAUUACAUGAAGACGAGAACUCUAUUUAUAGAGUCUCAAAAAGUUACAUCCUGAAUAAACAAUAAUAAAACUAUUAACUUAAGUGAUAAUACAAGGUUCACUGGAUAAACUAAAGCUAACAUGCUAAGUCAGUUGACGUAACAAAAGGUCUUCACUAUGGUAGUGGAAGUUGCAGUUCACUAUGCGUUCAACGUAACUGUAGUAGGCACUCAUCAUUGCGGUAGUAGCAUCAACUGCGGUAGACAGAAAUAUGAUUGCGGAUAAGUUUAGAGGGUCACUUUAUGUAACAAUAGUUCUUGAGCUAUACCGGAGAGGAAAAGUCUACCUGGGUAUAAAGAUUCUAUUUUGUCUUUUCAGUAAUAAAACAAUGAUCAACUUUAUACUGACAUUUCUUAGUAGACUAAACAAAUCAGUCAUGGGAAAUAGGGUCAUCCAAGCUACUCUUAUUUUAUAAUUUAAUGUGUAUUGUUUUGUCUUGUAAAUAAAUGAUCUUCUUCAUCAAUCUAUUAAGGCUCUCCACUUCUGAUAUCUUUUUUGUGUAAUCAUUAUAUUAAUAUAAAAAUCUUUUUUAUCAAGAUUAUCUUUCAUAUUUAGUUGUUCAUCACUUUCUAACCUCGUCUUGAAUGCAAGACUUGUUACGAUUCAACCAAAUUAUUAUUUACUUGCAUAUAUUUUAAAGUAAACUUGUUGUUAUAUCUCUUCCUUACUAUUCCGCAAUCUAGUUAUUAUUGAGCUUAAUUAAAAGAUCCAUUAAUUAUGCACUUAUCUCAAUAUCAUUCAGGGAUUAAACCUCUUUUUUUCUCAACAAUUUAAUCACUGUUAUCUAUAGAUAUAGACCAAAUAUGAUUCUCAUAAGAAGCAUCAUUAAUGUCCGAUUUGUCCAGACGUUUCAUAACAAAUAUUUGCUUUGGUGUACGUUUGACUUUUGGAAAAAACAAUUGCCUUUUUCAUUCAAAUUUGUUACACUUCCAUUUUCAAAGAAAUGUCUCAAAUUAAUUUGAUUUUUACCAGUUUAACCAAAGUAGAACAAUCAAUUUCAUCCUCAACUGAAGUUUCACUCAUUUCGUUUUCAUCAAAUUCAGAAUCAAUCGUAGAAUCAUGAUUUUCAUCUGAAAUCAAUUUCUUACACAACAAGUUUCAUUUACCAAUCGAAUUAUUUAUGAUUUGUUAUUUGUCUUCUUCUGUUAACACAUAUUUCAUCAUGGAUUCACAUUUUCUUUUGAUUUCAAAUAUUCCUUAAUCUUUUCGAAUCCAGCCGUAUAUGAAUAUCUCAAAGAUCCAUCAGAUGAAACUAAAGAUUCAUGUUUGUAAUACUCAACAUCUAUUUCCUCUUCUUGAAAUUCAUAUAAGGGAAACAUCUUUCUAUGCAUCUCUUUUACAAUAUCAUAGUUCAAAUAAAGUUGUGAGAUGUUAUUAUUAGAGGCGACGAGCUAAUUGACAACAAAUAUUUCUUUGUUGCAUUACAAUUAUAUUAUCUUGUAUUAACAUAAUAACAUCAUCCCUAACUCUAUCUAGUUCAACUUCCAAAUCCUCAAUCCUUAUUCUUUUCUCGUCAUGUCUAACAAUAACUCUACUAAGAUUGUCAUCAAGAUUAAAAACUCUUAUGCGAAUCCAUUUCAAACUUUAGAUAAACUCAUAAAUUGUACCUUGUUGAUUACCUUUUUGCUAACCUCCACAUGCUCACUAACAGUUUUGCUAGACAUACUCAUGUCCAAACUCACACCAUCAUCAGUGAAAUACCCUUGACUCCUCGAACUUACAUUUUGAACCAUAAAACACCUUCUACUACUCGCUUUCUCCUCCAUGUUUGCGGCAUAGCAGGCUCCAUGUGUUGGCCUACGAAUUUCAUCAUCAUCCAAAUUCGUUGACCACACCUCUAUGUUUUCGCUAUCAUUGUAAUCCUCUUCAACUAUUAGUGAUUUUCUAGUGAGCUUCAACUUGCGAAGAUCUUUAAUUUCCAGACAUAAUAGGCUUCAUUCUUUUCCUUCUCUUUAAUCUCGUUUUCUUUCACUUAAAAUGCACUCUUUUGCAAAAUGAUUUUUUUCAUUACAAUAGUUACAAUCAAAUCCUAAAUCUCCAACCAACUUCUUUUCUUUCUUCUCAUCUUCUCUUUGAUAAACCUUGUAUCCAUCAUUUUUUAUUUUCUCAAAUCUUUCAUCCUUUGAAACUGUUUCCUCCUUUAUCAUUUCUUCCAAGGUUGUUGUUUUUUAACUUUGAGAAGUUUUUCUUGAAACUUUUCUUAAGGAUUCUAAACAUCAAAUCCUUCUCCUCACUAGUAAACUCAUCAUUAAUAGCAUCCGAAUCGAAAUCUUCGGCAAUCACUUUGGCCUUCUUUCAUUUUGUAUUUUCUUCUUUUGUAAAAAGUGUUAAAGUCUAACAUUUGAAAUUGGCUUCACCUCACUCGUUACUUUAGUUUCUUGUGAUUUAAGAAUACCAAUCAUUUGAGCCACAGAGUAAAUUUUGACUUGUUCAUGAGCUUUACCAAUAAAACAAUCUUUUUCAAUUCUGAUCUUAAUUCAUUCAUGAAAGUUACUUUCUACUCAAUAUCUUCCCUCUUUUAUUUCAAUAAACUACUCAACAGAUGAUUAUAUUUCUUAGUAAAUUGAUCAAGAUUUUAAUCCGGCUUAUGUUUGAAAGAUCUAAAUUUUAAAAGAAGAGUUGUUUGAAUUGAAUGUUUUUGAUCUUCAUCUCCUAAGUACAAUUCCUUCAUUCUUUUCCAUAUAUCAUGUACAAUAUCUAAUGAACCAACGAAUCUAAAUUUAUCUGGUGGAAGAGCGCAUCGAAGAUAUCUUUUAGCAUGUAUUUUGUUUUGAAGUCUCUUGUUCUCAUCUACAACUAAAUCUUUGGAAUUAAUAAAAAAAUUCUAACAAAUCAGUCUGAGGUAAGAAUUGGUUUAGUAUCUUUUGAACAUUGUUGAGGGCUAAUGGUGAUAGCAUGCCAAAUGCUUGAACCUUCAUUUUCAAUUCUAGUAAUGUAAUCUUUGACGUGUAUAACCUAAACUUCAUAAUCCUCUAAAUACAAAAUUGGAAUCCUGGUAGUAGAUCUGAUACUUCAUGGUAAGUUGAAAGAAACGGAGUGAGAAUCGUCUUUUUCCAUGAUUUUAAACAAAUUUAACUAAGAAUCAAUUCAAUGAGCUAACACGGAUUUCAAAUCAAAACAAGUAAUAUGAACAACGAAAUUCAUAUCAAUUUGAGAUUUGUAAUCACGCUUAGUAAAUUCCCGCUUUGAUACCAAUUGAGGAUCGAUAGAUUCUAGGAUGGUCAAAUCAUGAAAGACAUGACAUAAUUGGAUGAACACGAAGAUAUAAAUAAGAUUUAGUUUUUCAUUUAGAGAGUAAAUGGUAUACGAUUACAAUGAAGUAAGAAACCUCCCAAAUGAUACUCUCUACCACUAACGAACAACCCUUAUAUACCAACUACAAAGGAGUCAAUUAGGCUUUAACCAGUGAGAUCAGGAUACCUAUGCAAACACAGAUGUCAAAAAAAGCUAACAUAAACUAUGAAUCCUAAGUAUACAAAAAAAUACAAACACAGACAAAGUUGUUCCCAUAUACAAGUGAAAGAUAAUAAAAAUAACUCUAAAAAUACAUUUUGCAUCCGAGCUCAAACACAACCUAGAAAAUCUUUGAAUCCCAACAAUAAGCAUGAUAUUGUAAGAAACUGUUGAGCUAAAUCAAUUUAAACAAACCAUCCAACCCACUCCAUGAAGUGAUUCACAACAUCUCAAGGAUGAGGGGAUAGUUUGUUCUUUUUACACUCAAGCUCCUAACUAACUUGUUAUAUACCAACUAGAGGAUUACUCGAAGUGUCUAAAUAAUUUUUACAUAACAUAUAUAUUCAUAAUAUAUAAAUAUAAAUAGGUUUUAUUCACUUUUAUUAUUAUUUAAUAGAAAAAGUAGUUCUCAAUUAGUUGUCAAAAAAUUUAUUAUUUACAUAAAAUAAUGAUUUUCUAAUUAAGUACAUGUGUUGAUUAUAUUUAUUAAUAAUCACAUCUCUUAAAUAAAUAACCAAUAAUUAGUAACUCGCUAUAAGGUGUGACCCUAUAGGGUCAUACUAUUGAAUCAAUAUGCACAAGAAUCAUUAUUGAGUGACAUUGCUAAUAAUAUAUGAUCCUAUAGGGUCACACCUUUAUCAAGUUGACACAUUUUCUAUAUUUAUUAUUAAUAUGAUUAUUAAUAAAUAACAUUAAUUCUUGUAUUUUAAUAAGGUAAUAAUUAUUUUUUUUAAUUAUAAUUGUAAGAUAGUAUAACUUGCCAUUAUUUUAUAUGGUAUGAAUUAAUAAGUCAUGACCAACCUUUUGGACUAGUUGGAUUCUUUUGUCUUUUACCUAAAGAGAAAUUUUAUAUUUUAUAAACUUAGAGGUUAUAAAAAUUAAAGAAUCAAUCCUCUUUUUGAGAGGUAUGGUCGAAUUUAAUAAAAAAAUAUGGAGGUUGCUUGUCAAACUCUAUGCUAUGUCUCCCUAUGCUUCUAAAGGCUACAAAUACUUAAUAGUAUUUUAAUUUAAAGCCCUUACCUUGCAUGGGAUAUAAAAGGGGACUCUUUGCAUGAAAACCUAGCUAGUUUUUGGUCUUAUUUUCUUCCCUUCAUUCUCUUUAAAAUCAUAAGCAUGAAGUGCUCUCACACAUUUGGUGCUUUACAUUGGUGUGUAAAGCUUCCUUGAGUUGUCUCCUUUACUGCUUAUUUGAUUUAAGCACUUAAAGGCUUGAGACACUCAAGAAUACAAGAAGGAACUAGCAUUAAGAGUACCUUACUCUUGAUGGUGUAUACACAUAGAGAAAUCAUACUCUUUGAUUUUGAUAUCUUCAUCAACACCCCAACACCAAGUGGGUUCAAAGGCUUCAAAGGUUGUCAUUCUAAAAACUUCUUGGUUGUUUUUAUUUCAAUCUAACUUCAAUAAAUGGAUCCUUGAUGGUUAUGUUUUGUUAUAAACUAAAAAUAAACUUGUUAUUUCUAAAGACUUCCGUUGUCGGUCUAUAAAAAACUAACUUAUAUUUUGUAUCAAAACUCAUCAGUGGUAUCAGAGACACAUUUUAUAUGUUAGAAUGAUUUUUAAUGUUUGAUAACCUUUGGUUUUUGUAAAAAACGCAUGGAUUUCUUCUUUUUAAGAAAAAAUCCAUAUUUGUCUUCUUUGGCUACUUCUUUGUUAAAAUUGUUUAUUUUUAUAUAUAACCAUUUUUCAUGCAGUUUAGUUAGAUAAAAGUUGUCUUGGAAAAAAUAAAGUUGCUUGUAUUAUAUUUAAUUUGUUGUUGUGUAUAUACAAGCUAUUUGGACAUUUGUGUUGUUUAUGGUUGAUAUUUAUUUAUUCAUAAGAUAUAAUUGAUAAAUAAGUAUUUUUUUUUUCAUUUGUUGAUUUGUUGUAAAAAGAAUUAGUUAGACUAGUUGUAUUUCCUUAUUAAAUGUAAUAAAAUGAAGAAAUGACCUCCUUGAAGAUGACUUAACCAUUUAAGACCAUAAUCCCAACCAUAAGCUUCUACAUUUUGUUAUGGGCUUAAUUAUAGUGUUAAUGGUUUCAGUGUUGCAACUUUCACAACAUGAAGAUUUGAAGUCAUUUUAAAAGCAAGAAUUGACUCGGCAACUGGGAGCUUGAAGACCUUUUGAAGUGUCCAUUAAGUAAUUUUUAAAAAAAGACUUUAUAAUUCUUCUGAUGACACACAAAUUUUUUUAUUAGAUAUGACUUGGUUUAUACACGUUAAAAUGCGCGCAUUUGAUGUUUAUUUUUAUGUUAUUAUAUGUUAUGUUUUAUGUAUGAAAAUGAGUUUUAUAUGUCAAACAACAUUUUAACAUAAGAUAAUAUCACUUGGAGUUUGAGUGAAAAAUAUUUAAAAGAUAAGAUAAGAUGUUUAUAAAUGAAUAUUUAUAAAAACGUUUUUACCGAUUACCGAUUUACCAGUUAAAAUCGUUUUUUUUUUUUUGUUGAAAAUAGUUUUAUUGUAAAACAUACAAAUACCCUACUUUAAAAUAUUUGAAACGGUUUAAAAGGUGUUUAAACAUUAUAUAAACUCCAUGUAUUUGUAAUAAAUAAAGAGUUUUUAUAAAAAGAUUAAAAUAUUGUUAUAGCAUUAUAACAACAAAUAAUAAAACUAGUGAUUAUUUUUAUUUUUUUGCGUCGAAACUUAAUAUAUGAAUUGGUGUUUUAAGUAUAACGCAACAUGUUUAUAUUUUUAUGCAUGCCAAAUGAGAUUUAAAACAUAAGUAUCAUCAUUCAAGUUUUGGUUUAUCAAAAUAUGACUUUUAUCAUAAGAUACAUAAAAUUGAGUUUAUAAAAUAAAAUAAGUUUAUUCUACAAAUUGAUGAAGUCAUAAUCUUUUUAUUGUUAAAAGAAGAAUUAAAAUAGUGAUUUUAUAAGUCAUCCAAAACUCCAAGUCUUAAGUAUAAAAUAAAGUUUCAUUACGACUAUUAUCAGUUCUUAAAACCGAUCUACGACUAAUCUUUAAAAUACCGAAUUUUAGUUUAUGAUUCAUCGAGAUUAAUGGAAAGCAAAAAUGAAGUUUUACUUGACACCUAAAGAACCUCAUAAUAAGUGAUAUGAAUAUUACAAAAGGGUACAUGAAUUGUUUAAUGCAUGCAAUACUAAUGAGACCAUGUUUUUAUAAACUAUAAUAGUAAAACAUAUAUAAAACCUUUUCUAAAAAUGCAAUUUAUUGUCUUCCUUUUUAAAAAAAACACUCGUUAUCAUUUGUAUGGUCUUACUAUCACAGUGUCACCUGGUCAUUAGGAUUUUCCUAUGAUGUCCGGGGUAGUUUUGUGGUUUCUGUUUCUCACUAGUUUGUUACAAUACUACAAGUUGUUUCAAGUAGGAUGACUUGAUCGGAAUCUUAUGUGAUCAAGGUCACCUAACAAUGAGAGGUCUGAGGCAUAAAUGAGAUAAACAUGUCAAGUUAAGCAAUACUUGUUUAGGAUCCCAUAAUGUUGGAGUUAUAUAUCAUAUGCAAUUGGUAAUCACUACCUACCGAGUUUGAUUAAGUUUACAGGAUAAAGAUCGCCUAACCAUGUACUUGUUACACUACUUGGAUUCUAGACAUUAGGAAAUUAAUGUUUUAAGAAACAAUAAAAGGUAUUAAUUUUUAUAGACUAAAUAUUGAAAAUACUAAAUGAAACGAUGUUAAAUUUUGUAAAUAAUUAUUAACAUUCUUGCGUCGUGCAAAACCUCUCUCUUGUCGAGUUUCAAGAGACAAUAACAUUUGAUGACUAUAAUUUCUAUAACCGGUAUAAUAUCUUGAGGUUCUACCUUAAGGAUAAAUAGAAAUUAUAUAUAUUGAAAGAUCUCAUUCCUUAACAACCUCUACAAAGCAGUCACUUUGAUCUUGAUACUUUGAUAUAAGUAUUAUUGAGAUGAUAUUGAUGUGUCUUACAUCAUACUAGAGUAAUCAUAUUGGAUAAAUAGAAAUUAUAUAUACUGAAAGAUCCCUUACCUGAAUAACCUUUGCAAACCAGUCAGUCUGAUCAUGAUACUUUGAUAAAAGCAUUAUUGUGAUGAUAUUGAUGUGUCUCGCAUCAUACUGGAGUAAUCAACCUUGACUUGCAGAAAUUCUUGGAUAAUUAUGAAAAAUAUUAGUUGUCUCAUCAAGUAAAGAAGAUAUUCAAUCAGAACAGUAGAAAGUGCUUCAAGUCUAUUCAAGAAUUGAAUAAAGGAAGUCAAAGAGAUUGUGUACUCAAAUAGACUUAUAGUUCAGUUAAUGGAUAUACAACAUAAACCUAGAAAUCAAGAAAUGAUCUAAAUGAUUAAUAUUGUUUCUAUCGUGGAAGAAACUAGACAUUGAAAGAUGAACUACUCCUCUAAUCUCAUCGAGCUCAAGGAAGUCUGACUUGAUCAAGACUUCAAAUAUCUAUAUGAUAGAACUAUUUUAGUUUUCCAUCAUUCACUUGAGUAUGUUAUACUUCAGGUGGCAUUAAUAAUUGAUAUUAUGUGCUGAUGAAUGGAAGAAAUAACCAACUGAAUACAAACGAAUGGCAUUUCGUGCUGAAGAUAUAACAAGUGAUGUUACAGUCUUUAUUUAAACAAUAAAUGUUUUGCAUCUAUUCUUAUAUGGACAUGUAACAAUUGUAAAUUUAUGAAUAAACUUAGAUUUACUUAUCAUUUGAUGGAUGUUCUCAUUCAUGUUCUGAAACGAUGUAUUCUAUAUUAAAGAAUAUUUUCUCAUAAUGCCAUUUAUGAAGUAAAUCUCUAAUCUUUCGUUAAAUUGAUAGUUCUAAUCAUAACACCUAAAUAAUUAAAUGGUAUUUGAUUGAAACUUGUCUAUGUCAUGACUAUAUAAAUAUGAAACACAUAUACCAACUUCAAAAUGAUGGAAUUUUUGAAGGAAAAUGAGCUUAAUUCAUUUGAUAUAUGUGAUCUUAUUUUAUAUGGGAAGAUGAUUCGCAAGUGACUUUAUCUAAUAGUAGUUAAAGAACAAAAGGAUUUUCUAAGGAUUAUACAUAAGUGUUAUAUGUAAUCUUUUCAAUCCAUGAAAAGAUACGGUGAGAGAUACUUAAUCAGUUUCACUGAUGAUUUUUAUUCGUUAUUGUUGAAACUUUUGAUUUGCUCAAAUUUUUAUAUAGUGAAGAUUAAAAUACAAGUUAAUGAGAGCAUCAUUAAUCUUUCGUUUUGAUAAAUAAAAUUAUUUUUGUAAACAAAGUCUAUGUGGCACAUCUUAGGAGAUGUGGAAUCUAUUCACAACUCAUUUUGUCAAAAACACUCCCUCAUCAUUAGUAUGGUUCUUGUGGCACUGGAUCGCCUCGUUACUUGGAUCUAUCUUUUUAUGUUCGAGGUAGCCUUUGUAUUCUCUAGUGGGAUAAGUUCACCCGGCUACUAGCUGAAUGUCAAUAAUACAAGUUUUUGAAGAGGAUAAAAAUAGACCUUUUCGUCUAAUAUAUGAUUUUUUUAAAAGAACUAUUUACUUUAUGAAUUUUUGGAAUUAUGCUCAUUGCAACACAUAUAUAUAUAUAUAUAUAUAAAUAUAUAUAUAUAAAAUCAUUUGUGNCAUUAGACUAAGGAUGCAAUGGUUUAUCCUUACCUAAAAUGUAUGGAGUUAUAGAGCUUAUGUCAGACAAUAAGCUUAACCACUCUAGUAUUUACUAACUGUGUUCCAUAAGACAAGUCCUUAGAAGGUUUUUUUCUAAGUGUGAAGAAUAUCGAAUUUUAAGAGCUAAAGAACCAUAAGCUAAAUGAAUCAUAGUUUGAAACUAGCAAGUUUUCAACUGUUGUUGAAUUUGCUCAAUAGUCGACCAGAAACUAAUAAAACGCACAGAGAUGCAUUCAUGUAUGAUUAUCAAGUAUGGGCUUGAUAAUCUUCCUCAAUAUAUUAUGAAUAUAAAGAGAAAGUGAUUUUUCAGAGGAGAAAACAUACAUGAAUAAAAAUAUUUUCAAGAUUUAAGCUAACGUCACAAAGUAACAAUCUUCUUUCUUAUCACGUAAUUACAUAGUGUGAUUUAAUCAAAAAUCAAGAAAAUUCUUGUGUUUUUUACAAAGCUAGUGGGAGCGCAAUAACAUUCCUAGUCUUAUAUGUAGUCGACAUACUAAUUCUUGGAAUAAAUAUCUAUAUAGAUAGAUCAUGACAACUUAAAGGAUUAAGUAAAAUUGAUUUAAUUAUCAAGGAUCUGAAAGAGCUUAAGAUAAAGGAGUAUAAAAAGAGAUAUCUUUGUCGAAUACCACAUGACAUGAUUUUGAGAAAAAUCUGAGUGAAAAUGUUUUUGAACUAGAUAGCAUGAUUGUAUAUCAUAUGUUGUUGUUAUUGGAUUAAUCAUAUAUGUCAUAAUUACACAUAAAGGCCAAAUAAGUCGUAUACUUAGAGCAUAUCGAAUGAUACCAGUAUAGUCUGAGAACAAGUCAUUGUGCGACUUAUAGGAGCAUUCUAAAGUACUUGCAAGAACUAGAGAAAUAUUCCUAAAAUAUGGAGUAUUUGAAAGAAAGAUAUGGUUAAAGAUGAUAUACAUGUACUGAACUUCCAAAUAGAUUGAGAUGACACUCAAUCACAAUCUGGCAUGUCCUCAUUAUGAAUGAAGAUAAAGUUACAUGAAAAGCGAUUCCGUACUGAUUUUAAUUACAGUUACACAUCAAUGUUAUAGUACAUUGUGGUUUGGAGAUCCACAUACAAAUAUGCAUAAUGAAUAGUUCAUUAUUACUGUGGGUAAAAUCCCAUUACACAAGUAUUGGCAUCUAACUCAUAUUUAAGAAUCUGAUACAUACUCAAUAGUUUUCUCUAUAUAUGAGUUACAUACACAUACACACACACACACACACACAUAUAUAUAUAUAUAUAUAUAUAUAUAUAUAUAUAUAUAUAUAUAUAUAACUGAAAAUUUUUCUAUUCACACAGUUUAUACAAAUUAAGUUGGUCAAAUCUACUUAACAAAGAUUCUUCAUUAGCUAAAGCAUGAAAGUCAACAUGGUGCUAUAGGGCCUUGUUGAUAUAAGUAGAUGUAUUUGAUUGAAAUUUAGUAUUUGCAUAUUAGAACAAAGUAACCAACAUAUAUUGGAAUGAAUUGAUAUAUAUAUUGGAUAUGAGUCUUUCAUUGAAUAAUUGUUGUGCUCUAUAUUAGAUUGUUUAAAUCCUUGAAUAACUAGGUUAUUCAAAAUUUCUAUAGUCAUUCAUAGUUGUGGGAACAUCUAUGAGGUAAGACUAAUAUGAGAUCAUUGGUUGAUUUUCAUGGAGAUGGAAACAGCAAGAGCUGCUACCAACUUUGUGGAUCAUAGUCAAGAGUGUUGUGUUAAUCAAGGUUGUAUCUUUGUAUUUUUAGAACUGAGAUACAUAUUUGGGACAUGAAGUGUAGAAAUUGUUGUGUUUUGACAUGGUUUAACAUUGUUCCAUAAAUCACAGUCAUAAGGGCCAUCUUUGGGUAUAACAUGAACUACACUGAUGGGUGUGUGUAGUCAAGAGGUGAUUUGUUCCUCUUACUCAUUGAUAGUUAGACAUCUAAAGCCUUACUCAAAGUUGAACUCUAAAUGAGAAUUAUCGUGAUCUAUAUCUCAUGUUCUAUAUGAUGUCAGAGAUAAACGAAUAAUUGAUACCAAACCUUUAGUAAAAAUUGUAGCUUAGAGCUCCUAGAAUUCGUUGUUGAUGAGAUGGCACCCUUCAUAUGUUGUUAGGGGUAAUAGCUUAUGUUGGGUUUUAAGCAUUCUAACACUCCUAAGUGUACAUGCAACCCUAAAUACCUUGGAUCUAUGUUUUCUCUAUUAUACAUGCAAAUAUGAACAUCAUAGGUAUUAUACUAACUAGCAUACUAAAACUUUGAUUCACAUGAAAUAUAACAAGUUAGAAUUACAUACCUCUUUGAUGUAGAAUGUCUUCAUGAAGCUUGAGUUCCUAGUGCCCCAAGUGUGACACCUCAAAUGGUUCACACAACAUCAUAUUCACUUGGAAAAACUUGAGAGAAUUCCACACUUCAUGAAAAUCGGCUAUCCCUAUCACUCUCACACACAUAGUGGCCGAUUUCUUGAGCCAUGGGAUUCUUUUAUAUGCUAUUAGGGUUACACUAUGUAAAUCAUAACUUUACCCAUUCCUUAUGCUCCAUGGAUUUUAACCUCCAUGGAGUAUCCAUGGGUCACCCCAUGAACUUAGUCCAACAUAAGAAAUCUUGGAUCACAAGCCCACAUAUAUAAGAAUGAAUUAUUUACAUAAUCAAUCCAUAUAUUUAAUUUAGUCUACUUUUGAUCACUUAGUUAAUUCCAAAUUAAUUUUUGAUUAAUACUAAUUAAAUAACCUUAUUAAUAUAUUAGAACUUAUAAUAUAUUAACAAACCUGAAGUGUUAUUUCUCUCAUUAUAGUCUAUCCAAAUGCAUGAUGCCAUGCAACCCAAAUGGACCAUGUCGAGUCGGGUCAAGUCUUACCAAUUAUAGUUAUGGACUUAGACAUUAAUCCAACAGUCUCCCACUUGGAUAAGUCUAAAACUAUUAUUGCAAGUAUGACUUCAGAACCCGACUAGCAAUCGUAGCUCUCAAAACCUUCUGUCGAACUCUUACCUUGUAGAUGAACUCUGACCUUUGUCAAUGACUUGUCCAUUAGAUAAGGGAUCAUAUAUUCCUCCAUUCUAGAUAUCAUAUGGACUAAGACAUGGAUUAUAAUCAUUCUCUCUAUCCUUUUGUUGUUUCCGGAUUUCCGAUUUAUGACGACUGACUAAUUGAACAAAUCAAAUCAGUCCUGGCCCGGCCGAGCACUUCCAUUUGUCAUCAUCAAAUCAUCGAGGGGCCCACAGAUAUCGCUUUUAUCCCGAAGGUAAAAGGAAUGGAUAAACUUCGACUCAUAUGGCUUGUUCUACUACUUGUUGAAUCAUACACAAAGGCACGUUUUAUAACACCGAGUUACCAAAUGCGUUUUCGUGCAAUCAAUGUACAACCAACUCAUAGUAACAACUCAUAUCUCUAGGUUUGAAGAAUAUAAGAUAUUAUCGUCUCAUGAUCACUCGUGAUAAAAUCCAUGAAGUGAUUCCAAUGAGCGCGGGUUGAAUCCAAUACUCAGAACUUAUGAGCACUCAUGAGUGUUGUAGCCCUUUGUCCAACACCUUAGACCUCUACAAGCCAACCCAUGACAGUCUUAAUUCAUAUCUACUUCCAACAUAUGACCGACUGUGGAUGGUUUGAAUAACUUAGUCAUUCCGGAAGAAUAACCUAGUUUAUUCGGGAAGUCAAAACAUGCAAAGUGAAACACAAUAAUAAUUGAAUCCAAUAUGGUAUCAAAACCUAUGAACAUAAAUAAAACACCUUUUAUUUAUCACCAUAUGAUUACACAUUAUUCAUUGUAUACUGUUUCAGCUAUCAACUUUAUUCUUGAAUUUAAAACAAUAGUUGUCCCAUGCUCCAAGCAUGUACACUAUGUUUUCUAAACACUAGUCAUGCCAUACACCAAGUAUGCAUACUAUGUUUGUCUAUGAUCUUUACUUUGUGAACUAGAUCAAUUGAACAUAACUUCAAUGAUUCUCUUUUCACACUCCCAAAUCCUUACUGCAAAUGCAAGAAUUCCAAAUUCAUGCCAUUUACUGAAAUCUGUUAGAUUCUAAACUUAUAUGCAUUGAUCCUCUUGUAAUGAUUAUGCACAAAGUCAGAAAGACUUGACAACAAUCAUUACAGAGUAUUCCAAAGGAGAUCAGCUCCUUGGAAACAUCCUUCUUGCAUUAAGUUUCCUAAUCUUAAACAGAUUGAAAAUUCUAACUUUGAAACAUUUCCAGAUUCCAUUUUGACUAUCACUUCUGAACAAGAGUUGCCUCCUUACAGAUUAUGUCAAUAUGGUCCUUCCAGAAUUAUCACUAUACUUCCAACUGUCCUUGGGCAACCAAUCUUUGGUAAGCCUUAGAAUGAAUAUAGCACAUGUAAUCAAUCCUAUAUCCGAAGCAUAUGGGACACGAUUCAUGAUGUCUCAUAUAAAGGCUAAACUAGUAUUUUGCUAUAACAUUUGCAUUUCAAUUUGCCAAGUUCUCAUAAUUCAGAUUAUGAAAAGGGAUGCCGUAAUCAUAAUCGAAUUUUAGAACGCAAAUAAUGGACCCAUAUACAGAAUUUCCUUAUGUUGAGCCAUUCCAACAUGAAAUUCAUAUAUAUCCUUGACUAAAUGAUUAAAACCUCACGAUCUAAGCUUAUAGAUUUGAGAUGAAGCAUAAUUUCCUCUCCCUUAAUUAUAGCAAAACAACUUUUUCCCAAUUGAAACUUUUGUUUUCUAUAAUUAACAUUGCUAACUUGCAAUACUUAUCAUAAUUAUCAUGCUCCCACUAACAUGAUGAUUAUUAGCAUAACACUUAUGCUCCCACUAGCUUUGACAUGUACUCAGAAAUCAGCUGGACUUCUAGAAAUCAAUACUUUAUUGACUUUCUUACCAAAGUUCAGAUUUCUGAUACUAGAUUGCUUUGAUAAAACUUUAUCAAUAUCAUACACCUUAUCUUAGAUAGCUCACAGGUGUGUCUAAACAAUUUUAAGAACUAUGAAAAGGGAUGUCGUAAUCAUAGUCUUGAUUGUUUAGACCUUUGCCACUUCUCACAAGUCCAUGUUAGUGUGUCGGUUAACCACACACGCUCCACUAACGACUUUGAGAAUGCAAAUAUCACAAUUGCUAUCUAGCUAAAAUCUACUUAGUGAAAGUGUUUCCUCACCAUCAUUUUCAUGAAUCGGAGAGAAACCUUAUGACACUUAGAUUUAAUGGUGUAUGUGUUCUUAUCCAUGUGAAUUGUCAAAACCAUAGUCACAAGACAAGGAUAAUGACAAAUCCAAACUCAUAUGGACUGAACUCAAUCUUAAUUUAUUGCCACCUGGCAGCUCAAGGGCCUGCCAUUGCUUCCAAGUUGUUGUGCAACAAAUUGAGAACUCUAAGAACUCAUAUGCAAAGCCAACUUUAACUGGAAUGGGCACAGAAUAUGUCAACACGAUAGGUUAUAAACCUCAAGUCGUGUGCUAGUGAAGAACUUCAGGUUUUAUUCUUGAUUAGUUCUUGAGACUUUCAAGACCUUUAAGACUCCCACUGUCCUCUUGACAUAUAAGACUUUCUUGUCAAAUAUUCAAGAGAUAGUGUGGAUUCUAAUCAAUACAAACACUUCACACAAUUGGCCUUAGUUGGUCUUUUGUUUUAUCCAAAACAUCACAACUUACCAAUUUCAAAUGUACAAGAGUAGAAAACUUUUACUCUUACAUUUGACAUGUGUUUUAAACCUUCUAUAAGUCAUGUCACUCAAGUUACAAUCUUGGAGUAUGACUCUAAGACUUGUAUUGGAACGAAGUAUGAAUCAUCUUCUCGAUUUAACCACUUCAACAAUUCAUAACUCCUCUUCUUAGCUAUCAGAAUGCACUUAGAGGGUGAAUUGUGAUAAGGUCUCUAAAUCAUUAAGAUGAUCAUAUAACAUGAUACUAAAGUACUCUCCCAUCUUUUCAGAUUUGAGAAACUUUUAUCCUUCUGCCUAAUUGGAUUCUUCUUAUUCGCUCUGUCAUACAUUGGAACCUUUUCCAAUGUCUCAUAAUUACACUUAAGCUUGUAAGUAUAACCAUAUUUACUAAGCUUUAGUAAAUUAUGAUGAAUAAUCUUAUCGAUCUUUUGUGGUGGACUUUACUAGUGCAUAAAAAUGUGUACUCGAUCCAUGUGAACAAGUAGUUAGUCUUAAUUUUUCCAAUGUUUGAAAGUUCUCAUCCAUCAUGCUAUACAACUUGCAUGAUUUCAAGUUUCGCUCCAAUUGAAACUUGGGUGAUGAGGAUCUUUCUUUAUUUGGUAAAUUUAGACAUUACCACAAAUGAAAGAAUCAAAUUCACUUUCUAAUAUUGCUAUCAGUGGAAUCUUAUAAGCAACAAUUUUCCACAAACGCCAUUGUAAGGAUACAUAAAAUAAAAAAAAAAUCAAAAAUUUCCUUUUAUUUUAAACUUUGCUGAAAAACUUAUCCUUACAAUCCAUAUGAAAACUUGUUGUUAUCUAUUCCUAAGCAAUAUCUCAUAACUCCUAAGAAGUAGCCCAAGAAUCCGAUCUUCAAACUAUGCGAUAUAAAUCCAUCUACGCGAUCAGAUUCAACAUAUUCUUUCUUUUAGUUCCUUCACUUUUCUUUGAUUCUUAAAACAUCACCAUGUGACCCAGUCACAUCAUGUAUCAAGAAUCUCAGAAUAGAAACUUAGCAGAGUUAGAUAGUGGACUUUACCUGAAGUAGAGUCAAACUUAUUGACUUUAACAUCCUUAGGU